rnacentral:rRNA from 1 species
CAGCCGCCGCGGGAAUACGUAGGGUGCGAGCGUUGUCCGGAAUUACUGGGCGUAAAGAGCUCGUAGGCGGUUUGUCGCGUCGUCUGUGAAAUUCUGCAGCUUAACUGUAGGCGUGCAGGCGAUACGGGCAGACUUGAGUACUACAGGGGAGACUGGAAUUCCUGGUGUAGCGGUGAAAUGCGCAGAUAUCAGGAGGAACACCGGUGGCGAAGGCGGGUCUCUGGGUAGUAACUGACGCUGAGGAGCGAAAGCGUGGGUAGCGAACAGGAUUAGAUACCCGUGUAGUCCCUGUCUCUUAUAC